UGUCCUAACGUUGUUCGGAAUCACUGGGCUUAAAGGGCGCGUAGGCGGUCCGACAAGUCAGGGGUGAAAUCCUGCAGCUUAACUGCAGAAGUGCCUCUGAUACUGUAGGUCUGGAGGGAGAUAGGGGUGUGCGGAACUUCCAGUGGAGCGGUGAAAUGCGUUGAUAUUGGAAGGAACGACCGYAUCGNAANCGGCGCACUGGAUCUCUUCUGACGCUGAGGCGCGAAAGCUAGGGGAGCAAACGGGAUUAGAUACCCCGGUAGUCCUAGCCCUAAACGAUGGGUACUAGAUUGUAGACUAAUCAUGGGUUUACAGUCGAAGCAAAAGUGUUAAGUACCCCGCCUGGGGAGUAUGGUCGCAAGGCUGAAACUCAAAGAAAUUGACGGGGGCUCACACAAGCGGUGGAGCAUGUGGCUUAAUUCGAGGCUACGCGAAGAACCUUAUCCUAGGCUUGACAUGUGCGAAAGCGCAGGGGGUAGUCUUCCGGAAACGGAAGACGAAGGUAUCCAAUCCUGAACCUGCUACAGGUGCUGCAUGGCUGUCGUCAGCUCGUGUCGUGAGAUGUCGGGUUAAGUCCCAUAACGAGCGAAACCCUUGCUUUCAGUUGCCAGCGAGUAAUGUCGGGGACUCUGGAAGGACUGCCGGUGUUAAACCGGAGGAAGGUGGGGAUGACGUCAAGUCCUCAUGGCCUUUA
rnacentral:rRNA from 1 species